GUGCUUUCUUUGGCAGCACAUAUACUAAGUUUGGAACAGCGAAGAGAAGAUUAGCAUGGCCUCUGUGCAGGGAUAACACAAAAAGUUGUGGAGCGGUCUGUAUGAAA
ensembl:snRNA U6 U6 spliceosomal RNA